AAUACAGGUUUCUAGGGUUCCGGUUUAACAUUCGAGAUGUUUUGAGGUUGAACGUCUGGACCGAGAGAAACCGCCAGUUUUCUGGUACACGGCGGGAUAAAAGCCCGGGAGAA
rnacentral:sRNA from 2 species